CGGAGGAGAAGAAACGCCCGCUGUCUGUCAUCACAGCCAAGAAGUCCUUGAAGCCUACACGACCAUCUCCUGUGGAGGCCAGAGGGUUUCCCGAGGAGGGUUCAGAGUACAAGAAUCCCUAAAAAAGGAGUUUUACGUCAACUGACACAGGACUUAUUAUAAAGUGACUUAUGAUCAACACAGUGUGAUACCGGAAUGAGGACAGAGAGAUAAAUGGAACAAAGAGAGUCCAGAAAUAGGCUUCCACAUGCACGUUCAACUGGUUUGCCACGAAGGUACAAACCCAGUGUGGAAAGGAGUCUUCAGUAAAUGGCGCUGGAAUGGAUGGAUGGCCACACGCAAAAAACUGAACCACUAUCUAACACGCAUGCACGCACGCGCAAGGAUUAACUCAAAACGGAUCCUAAAAUGUAAAUGUUAAGCCUGACAUGAAAAAAUUCUUGAAGAAAACAUAGGAGAACUUCUGAUGUGACCUUGGGUUAAGCAAAGAUGUCUAAGAAACAACACCAAAAAAUCAAGCCCUAACGAAAAUAUUGAUACAUUCGGCCUUAUCAGAAUUCAGAACUUCUGUUCUUUGAAAGUCACUGGUAAGAGAAUG